UUCCAGACUCCUACGGGAGGCAGCAGUGAGGAAUAUUGGUCAAUGGCCGGAAGGCUGAACCAGCCAUGCCGCGUGAAGGUCAGUGCCCUAUGGGCGUUAAACUUCUUUUGUGCGGGAGCAAUAAUGGUCACGUGUGGCCAGACGAGAGUACCGUACGAAUAAGCAUCGGCUAACUCCGUGCCAGCAGCCGCGGUAAUACGGGGGAUGCAAGCGUUAUCCGGAUUUAUUGGGUUUAAAGGGUGCGUAGGCGGACGCUUAAGUCAGCGGUAAAAUUGCGGGGCUCAACCUCGUCGAGCCGUUGAAACUGGGUGCCUUGAGUGGGCGAGAAGUACGCGGAAUGCGUGGUGUAGCGGUGAAAUGCAUAGAUAUCACGCAGAACUCCGAUUGCGAAGGCAGCAUACCGGCGCCCUACUGACGCUGAGGCACGAAAGCGUGGGUAUCGAACAGGAUUAGAUACCCCAGUA
rnacentral:rRNA from 1 species